AUACCAUGAUUAGGGCAUUUCCACAGCAAUUCCUUGAAUCUGUCCCAUGCUUUAUAAGGUGUCUCACCAUCAUAUUGCUGGAACGUUGCUAUAUCAUUCCUUAACAGAAU